CCUCUAGGUUCUGGACUACGGACAACAGAUUGAUAUGUGGUGGUAGUGAUUAUCUUCGUUUCUAGGUGAUACCAUUGAAGCCCAGACACAACAUGUAACUUGCCCAAAUUUACCCAGAUGUAAGCGGUGGAGACAGGAUUAGAAACCUGCAACUCUGAAGACUCAGGACAACGAAACAAAACCCUAAUGCCCUGAAUUCCCAAGGAAAUGACCUAAGGUUCUCUUUCUGUCGUGAAGCUAGGAGACCUCUGAGAUGGGAGUCAGUGUGAGGUCUCCAGAGAUGUAAAUUUAUAAUUGAGGGCCACAAGGAAUCAGGGAGCUGGAGGAGACUGCGUUCCACCUGGCAUCUAGUUUUGCUGCGAAAGCAACCCAUGGAGAUAAUCAAACAACUUGGCAACAAGUCAUAUGGAAGAGGGAGGAAAAAAAGACUAACUUCCCAGAGCUGGAGGGAAAGCAGAAAGCCAUGCUUAAGCUCUCAUCAGUGGGAGCCAUUCCAUCCCAGGAUCCUUUCAGCAACCAAUUUGGAAGUCUAGGCUUUUCAGUAAAUAGUUUUAUCUUGUGUUUCGAAAAAGCCACACUUCAUCUUCUGAGCCUCAUAUUCUCUUACAUGAAGUUACUAAAUAAAUCUGUAUUUCUUUUAUUUCUUUUACUUUUUUUUUUUUUUUUUUUUUUUUUUUUUGAGACAGGGUCUCACUGUGUUGCACAGGCUGGAGUGCCGUGGUGAGAUCACGGCUCAGUGCAGCUUCAAAAUCCUGGGCUCAAAAGAUCCUCCAGCCUUAGCCUUCCCAGUAGCUGGGACUACUGGUGCAUGUGACCACGUCUACCUAAUUUUUAAUUUUAUUUUUUUGUAGAAACAGGGUCUUGCUGUGUUGCCCAGACUAGUUUGGAACUCCUGGCCUCAUGCAAUGCUCCCAACCUUGGCCUCCCAAAGUGCUGGGAUUACAGGCACGAGCCACGGCACCAGGCAUUCCCCGCCCCACAAUGAUUUAUACGGCUAAUGGUACUCCAAAUCUGAUAGAAAAGAAUCCAGUCUGCUCCUACUUCUUCACUUCCAGUGCUAACCAAGCAUAAGCCUCAACCUCUCUUGCCGGAGCUGGUAAAAUUGGCAUCUAUCUAAUCUCCUCACUUCGUCUUUUGUCCCAACAUAGUCCAUUCUCCACACAGAAGCCAGAUCUUCUGAAAAAUGAAGCCUGAUGUCAACAUUUCCCUGUUGAAAGCUUUCUGACAUUUUCGUAGACCUGUCUAACCACAGUCUUUAAGAGGCCCCAUGUGGGCUGGCCACCUUGCACCUCUCCACACCCAUCUUACAUAUCACACCUCCAUUACAUUUCAACCAUGCGGUUUUUUUGUCUGUUCUUUGAACACAGCAAGCUCGGGCCUUUGUGCUGGCUGUACCCUCUGACUGGAAAACCUGGUCCCCUCCCCAUGCCAUUCCCAUACCACUAACUCCUGAAGGUGGAUCUGUUCUCUGCUCAAAGUUCACCUUCUCAGAGCGGCACUGCAUGGCCACAGCUCUGGUACUUUCUAAUUCUUCUGAUUCAUCACUGUGCUUUGAUUGUCUUUAUAUCACUUAUCUUUCUCUGAAAUUAUUUUGUCCAUAUAUUAACAUACUGGUUUGUCAUCUAUACAUACUACUCCCAGCUCUCCCUAGCCCUACUCCCACCUCACAGCACAAUGUAAAUGCUGACUGAGUAGGGAUGAAAUCUACCUUAUUAAUUGUGGCUGAAUUCCCAGAUGCCAGAAUAGUGUCAAAUACAUAGUAGGGACUUCAUAAAUAUUUUAAAACAUUUUUGAAACUAUAAAUUUAAGGGAUUAUAUAUAUUUUUCAAAAGAUUCCUUAUGAGAAUACUGUUUUAAAUAGUGAAUAGAUUUAUUUGUAAUAGUAUUUCAGCUACACUUCAUACCUUAGUUUCUUAAGAAACUAUAAAAUGAGAGCUGGGUUAGAUGACAAACAAGGUCCUUUCCAGUAAUUAUAGUUCCGUGAUUAUGACUGAAAUAAAAAAAAUUAAAGCUAAU
rnacentral:lncRNA from 1 species